CUCACCUUGCAUAUUCUGUUCAUAUGAAUCGCCAUAAUGUAAAUGUGGUUUUAAGUCGUUAUGAGCACCGUGGAAGGACGUCCUAAUCAGGUUACGCACCCAAAGCGUAUGGGUCUGGUAAAUGUCUCAAACGUCUGGUAAAUGUAAGUGCUGCCGGCCAAAUGUCCGGUCACACACACACACACACAGCCAUUAGUCAUAAAGUUGGAGGCACAGAACAGAGGAACAGACAGAUGCGUUGUCCUGAUCUUUCUCCAAAGCAGCUUUAGUCAUACUGGACAUGACUUUGUGAAUUGCAAUGUUUGAAUUGCAAUGUUUGAAUUGCAAUGUUUGUGGCAAAUAACAAAACUCAUGCUGUAUAACACAGUGGCAGGUAGCCUAGUGGUGAAGUGACAGGUAGCCUAGUGGUUAAGUGACAGGUAGCCUAGUGGUGAAGUGGCAGGUAGCCUAGUGGUGAAGUGGCAGGUAGCCUAGUGGUGAAGUGGCAGGUAGCCUAGUGGUGAAGUGGCAGGUAGCCUAGUGGUUAAGUGGCAGGUAGCCUAGUGGUUAAGUGGCAGGUAGCCUAGUGGUUAAGUGGCAGGUAGCCUAGUGGUUAAGUGGCAGGUAG
ensembl:lncRNA